rnacentral:tRNA from 1 species
GGUGUAGCCCGGUGGUAGAGCACUUGCCUAGUGUGCAAAAGGCCCUGGGUUCCAUCCCCAGCACC